ncrna:unclassified sequences RAGATH-18 RNA
GCUGUGGACUGUACAAGGACCUGCAAGUAGCGAUCCGAAAGGAUGCAAAAGCAUACAGGAUGAAGCAGCAA